rnacentral:misc_RNA from 1 species
UGAAAAGUUGAAGGAAGAUAUGGAAGCAGAGAUUGAUGAUGAUGAAGAGCCUUUAGUUUACGAGAGUUGGGAUACUGAUUAUGCAACUGAGGCAUACAGACAACAGGUUGAGACUUUGGCAAAGCAUCAGUUGAAGGAGGAGCUGGAAGCUGAAGCCAAAGAGAAAGAGCUUGCGGAAUAUGAGAACUCCAUGGGGCAUACAUCUUCUGUUCCAAAAACCAAAUCGAAGAAGAAGGCGAAGAAAACAAAGUUCAAAUCUUUGAAAAAAGGAGGUCUAGCUUCUGAACGGCAAUCUUUGAAGGAAGAGUCUUCUAUAGAGUUGAUGCCCAUAGAUGAUGAUAAUCUAUCCAGUGAGCCAGUUACGACGCCGGAUUCUGCUCAAGAGAAGAAGCGUAAACUUCCAAGAUAUGAUGAGGAUGUGAAAGGCGCCAAGAAGUCUAAAAAAAUGAAAAAGUCCUCUGAGGUAUCUUCUCUGGUAAUACAUUCAACAUAUCUUGGAAAGAGGCAGGUUGAAUCUAAAGAAUUGAAACAGUAUGAUGUUGGCACGAUGAACAUUGAACUCAAACCAAUAAGCAGAAGCAAGAUGGGAGGGAAAGUCUUAGUCAGUCCAAUACCUGUUAAACGAGUCUUUUCUAUUAAAUCAGAAAGGCCAAUUAGGAAAGGUAAAACAUGGUCUAAAGAUUAUUUUCCAUCAGCUGAUUCAUGGUUGCAACAAGAAGAUGCAGUACUUUGUGCUUCUGUUCAUGA